AUACGGAGGGUGCAAGCGUUAAUCGGAAUUACUGGGCGUAAAGCGUACGUAGGCGGCAAGUUAAGUUAGAUGUGAAAGCCCCGGGCUCAACCUGGGAACUGCAUUUAAAACUGGCUUGCUAGAGUUGAGUAGAGGGGAGUGGAAUUUCAGGUGUAGCGGUGAAAUGCGUAGAGAUCUGAAGGAACACCAGUGGCGAAGGCGACUCCCUGGACUCGAACUGACGCUGAGGUACGAAAGCGUGGGUAGCAAACGGUAUUAGAAACCCCAGUAGUCC
rnacentral:rRNA from 1 species